rnacentral:rRNA from 1 species
UACGUAGGUGACAAGCGUUGUCCGGAUUUACUGGGCGUAAAGAGCGCGCAAGCGGUCGUUCAAGUCGAGUGUGAAAGCCCCCCGGCUCAACUGGGGAGGGUCACUCGAUACUGAUCGACUUGAAGGCAGGAGAGGGGAAGCGGAAUUCCCCGGUGUAGUGGUGAAAUGCGUAGAUAUCGGGAGGAACACCAGUGGCGAAGGCGGCUUCCUGGCCCUGCUCUUGACGCUGAGGCGCGAAAGCUAGGGUAGCAAACGGG